rnacentral:rRNA from 1 species
GUAAGCGUGCGCGAGGCGUUUGUAAGACUGUCGUGAAAUCCCCGGGCUCAACCUGGGAAUGGCGAUGGUGACUGCAAGGCUAGAGUUUGGCAGAGGGGGGUAGAAUUCCACGUGUAGCAGUGAAAUGCGUAGAUAUGUGGAGGAACACCGAUGGCGAAGGCAGCCCCCUGGGUCAAAACUGACGCUCAUGCACGAAAGCGUGGGGAGCAAACAGGAUUAGAUACCCUGGU